UGCUGUAAGGGCAAGCCCGCCCCACGUGGUGGCCUCCGGCCGCAGAAGCCACGUCACCCUCUGUGCGCCGCAUGGCUGGCCUGCUGGGUGGCCUGGCCACUCCGUGCACGGGGAGGGGUGACAUGGAUUUGCUGACUCGGUGGCCUCACCGCCGCCCACCAGAAGCGCACCAGUGUCCCUUUCUCCCUCUCCCCACAAAGGGAAACCUGGUCUGCUCUUGUCUAAGGCAGCCGCCCUCAGCCCAGCUGCGGCACCCCGCCCAUCCCGGGGUCAUGCGCCACCACGUGCCACCCGGUCAGCGGCCCGGGAUGAGGCCCCCUGCUCGCCGGCCUCUGACUCCAAAAGCAAGUUUCUGCCCCUUGGCAGGCAGAGGAAGGGCUGGAUGGUUCUUGGAGAUCAAGCCACAUGCCUGCCCGAAUGGAAUGCCCCAUCCUGGCGUGUUCAUCAGGGAUGAAACGUAUGUUUCAGAAUGCUCUUUUGCCUUUCCGCACAAGGGGAGAGCACAGCCUUGAUGGCCGUCGGGGCCUGUGGCUCUCCUCAUCAGCAUCAGUCUGUGUCGGCCCAGGCCCCGCGCACCUGCCCGUGACCUUGGGCACCUGGCUUCCUGCCCCCAGCCUUCAGCAUCAAGCAGAUGUAAAAUUCAUGUCCACAAAGAUGAUGAUGUUUUUGAGGUUUAAAUGAGUGAAUGAUUGCUACAAAUAAAGAGAACUAGUAAAAAUAAUAACAGGCAGAUUCUAAUCCUUUCCUGUGCCUUUGUCGUCAGGUCUUGGAGCCUAGGAUAUCAAGCAAGCUAUGUUCAUCUUCCAUGAACUCCACAGAUUGGCCCCUGCACACAAGCUUGGCUUUCCAGAUGCGGGAGGAUGAGGGUCGUGGGCCCGUGAUGCUGGGGGGACAGAACGCCGGGAUACGGGACGAUGAGGGUCGUGGGCCCUUGAUGCUGGGGGGACCGGGCGCCGGGAUGUGGUGGUGUUUGUUCUCUGCACUUCCUGUGUCUUGUCGGGUCGUUUGCUGUCUUACUUCAGAGAUUCAUUUUGCCCCAUUCUCUCCUCCUGCUCCAACCGCAUGCGUGUCCCUGGGUGUCUGGGCCUCUGUCCUCUUCAUUCUUUUGCAUCUGGAAAGUUCCUAUUGACCUCCCGUCGGGCUCCCUGAUUCUUUCCUGGGAUGUGUCAAGUCAGCUCCUGAGGUACUUCUUUUGUGUCACCGUGUUUUGAGCCCUGGUGUCCCUCCCUCUCCCCCCUGCCCCCGUGUGUAUACACAUGGCACUCAUCUGCCUGAUGACGACCCCUUGGCAUUGCAGUCCGUCCCUUUUCCCCACUAGAGACCCUCACGCGUGCGUCACACUUGCACCCCGUGCCUCGUACGGUCACUCCGACUGUGUCCUCUGGCUCUGGUUCUCAUGAUCGCUGUGUGUCUUCGGAGUGUGGCUUCUCCUGCCCUUCGGCUCGCCUGAUUCGUUCUUGUUGGACGUCACACGCGUGGAGCAGGGCCGUGGGCUCAGGGCACUGUGCUGUGUGGCUGGAGCUCUGUCAUCUCAGCCCCGGGGCCUGUGCUUUGCUCCCCACACUCUGCGUCCUGCCACCUCCGACUGACCCUCUGUCCCCGCGCUGAGGGGCUGGUCUGUAACCUUCUGACUGACCCUGCCUUCCCGUGGGCUGCGUGUUGGGGGGUGUUUCUGUGCCCCUCCAGGAGACCCCAGCCCCCAUUCCCCUGCCAUCCACAGCGUCCCCCUUCUAUUCCUGUCCCCCAUGGACAUUUUAUCCCUUUUACUUCUCCCCAGGGAAGGAGAGGUUUCUGUGUCUCCUCGGGUAAGCUCUGUCCCCUGGGAUGCUGCAGACAUGGUCUGGGAGGCCGCUCCAUGUCCUGUCCCUGUCCCAACCCUUUUGGAGCCACAAGGCCACGAGAGCUUGGCCCAGUGCGGUGGCCCAUCCGCAUCACUGGUACUGUUCCUACCCCUCGUGGUUUCUGCGGCCGGUGAGUAGCCCUCAGCUGCUGUCCCCCUCUGAUCUCAGGGUGUGCUUGCCCCGUGGCCCUGGUUCUCUGACGGUUGACACUUGUCCCCCAGAACCGGGAUGUGGGGGCUGCACUGAUGGACGAUGUGCAGAGUCCCCAUUUUCACGGGGCCUGACAGCGGAGAACUAAGAAGGAAGAAAAGUCAGCGAGUGGCUCACGAGUUAAGGCUGUGAUGGGACGUGCUACCCGUGGGAAACGGUGGAAAUUGCAGAUCCCCAGGCAGCGUCUGCUGUAGGCAGGUUCUGGGGGAGGCUAAGCUGAGCCGUGAGGGACAGACAGACCUGGUGCAGCGAGGGGGCUGCAGGGGCAGAGAGGGAGCUGUUCUGCACAGCCACUGGCGGCCGGAGGCGGAUUCUCGCGUAAAGUCCUCGCGCAGGGACUCGUCUGAUGACCCUGUGAUGGGCCGAACGGUGUCCUCUAACUUCGGUUUCUGAAGUCCCCAGCACCUCAGAAUAUGGCUGCAUUUGGAGAUGGGGCCUUUAAAGAGGUGACUGAGGUUAAGCGAGGUCAUCAGGCUGGACCCUGGUCCCAUCUGACUGGUGUCCUCAGGGGAGACGUCUGGACACAGGCAAGGGGUCGGUCGCCAGGCAAGGGUGAGGGCGGUUGCCCACAAGCCAAGUGGAGAGGCUUCAGGGGAGACCAGACCCGCGGCCUCCAGAACCGGGAGAGCCGCUGGAUGAGCCACUGGAUGUGGACACGGUGGACGUGGCACUUGGGAAGUCCCGUCGUCCGGCCAGGACUCCCGACCCGGCUGGAGUGUGGCCUCUGGCAUUGCCUGAGCCUCUGGUGCUGACCCUGGCUGGUUCAGGAGCCCUACGGGGGCACCGUCAACUGUGUGGAGACCCUUGCGCCCAGGUGUGUGGGGUGUGGACGGCAGGGAGUGGGGGGAGGCAGAGGCCCGAGCCCAGGAAGCCUCCCCCCCGAGCCGCUGAGAUUGGUCAGGAGGUGUGGAUGGUCCUGCCCGCGCUCCUGCUGGCCCCUGAGUGUCGGGUUUGUGGGUCUUCAUUUUACUGUGAAAUGUGACUGUGUUUGGUAAAAUGUACACUUUAUGCUGCUUUCAGAGUUAUUUGCUUCCAGGAAGAGGCAGCAAGGUCCUGCAGCAGGACUGUACUGAAGGGGUCUGAUAGGAGGCCUGGGAAGGUCACUCCUUCCGUCAGCCCGGUGGGCUUCUCUGGGGCCAGCUGAGCCCUAGGUGGGAGGGGUGCGGCGGGGGCACUCUGGGGGGCAUCGG